ACCCGUUUAGCCCGUUUAUUUUUUUUUUUCUGCUCUAAGCUACGUCGUUUCUGGCGUUAACAUCUUUAUUUGUCGUCGUUCUUCACCUCCGUGGCUCAUUGCCUCCUUCCAAAAUAUCAAACUGCUCCAAAUGAGUUUCUGAUUGGAAUCGGGAAGCUUCUAGGGUUUCGAUUUGUCUUUUGGCGUUCAUCUCGUGUCUUCUACUUCUUCUUCUUCACUCUCUCUUCCUCGCAUCUUUGAUACAGUCAAGGUCACCUAGCCUCUUCUUCAAGAGAUUUUUACAAGCACCAGCCCUGUUGAAAGCAGUAAACUCAUCAGAAAGGAUAAGCUUCUGAGUCUGCCUUUAGUGUUGGAUCCCGGGUUUUAACUCCUUACCGAAACCGUCUCUUGCCUAAAAAUGUCCAAGCUCUUCUUUGCACUAGGAAUUGGUUGCUAGGUUUUGCUGAAUACAAAGGUGCCAUUGAAGAUCUCUUUGAUGAAAAUGAAGAUGUUGGAAAGAAAGCAAGUAGUUCUGGAGUGGAAUCUUCAACAUAAAAUAUUGAUAUGUUCUGGUUAUUUUCAAUCAGUUUAUAAUUUGUUUGAUGGAAUAUGUAAUAAUAGGUUAUGCUUUGAUUAUGGACAGGUCCUACUUAUCCAAGAAGGAAAAGAGUAAUUUAUGGACACUUGCUGUGAACUUUAUAAUUUAAUUAUGUUGUCAUUUGUAAACUUUGAAUUUUUAGGUGAAACAAAACAAUAUAAUGUUCUGGACUUGUAUUUUA